AGAAGGGGAUAACACUUGGAAACAGGUGCUAAUACCGUAUAACAAUCGAAACCGCAUGGUUUUGAUUUGAAAGGCGCUUUCGGGUGUCGCUGAUGGAUGGACCCGCGGUGCAUUAGCUAGUUGGUGAGGUAACGGCUCACCAAGGCCACGAUGCAUAGCCGACCUGAGAGGGUGAUCGGCCACAUUGGGACUGAGACACGGCCCAAACUCCUACGGGAGGCAGCAGUAGGGAAUCUUCGGCAAUGGACGAAAGUCUGACCGAGCAACGCCGCGUGAGUGAAGAAGGUUUUCGGAUCGUAAAACUCUGUUGUUAGAGAAGAACAAGGAUGAGAGUAACUGUUCAUCCCUUGACGGUAUCUAACCAGAAAGCCACGGCUAACUACGUGCCAGCAGCCGCGGUAAUACGUAGGUGGCAAGCGUUGUCCGGAUUUAUUGGGCGUAAAGCGAGCGCAGGCGGUUUCUUAAGUCUGAUGUGAAAGCCCCCGGCUCAACCGGGGAGGGUCAUUGGAAACUGGGAGACUUGAGUGCAGAAGAGGAGAGUGGAAUUCCAUGUGUAGCGGUGAAAUGCGUAGAUAUAUGGAGGAACACCAGUGGCGAAGGCGGCUCUCUGGUCUGUAAC
rnacentral:rRNA from 1 species